rnacentral:rRNA from 1 species
UGAAGUGGCAUCACUUAGCGCUUAAAACUGAGGUGGUUAUAGAUGGGCAUGCGUCUGAUUAGCUAGUUGGCGGGGUAAUGGCCCACCAAGGCGAUGAUCAGUAGGGGAACUGAGAGGUUGAUCCCCCACACUGGCACUGAGAUACGGGCCAGACUCCUACGGGAGGCAGCAGUAGGGAAUAUUGGUCAAUGGGUGAGAGCCUGAACCAGCCAUGCCGCGUGCAGGAAGAAGGCCUUCUGGGUUGUAAACUGCUUUUGCCAGGGGAUAAAACGGUCGUGCGCGACUAAUUGAAGGUACCUGGUGAAUAAGCCACGGCUAACUACGUGCCAGCAGCCGCGGUAAUACGUAGGUGGCAAGCGUUGUCCGGAUUUAUUGGGUUUAAAGGGUGCGUAGGCGGCCCUGUAAGUCAGUGCUGAAAUCCCCCGGCUUAACCGGGGUGGUGGCAUUGAUACUGCAGGGCUUGAGUACAGAUGAGGUAGGCGGAAUUGACGGUGUAGCGGUGAAAUGCAUAGAUAUCGUCAAGAACACCGAUAGCGAAGGCAGCUUACUGGGCUGUAACUGACGCUGAUGCACGAAAGUGUGGGGAUCAAACAGGAUUAGAUACCCUGGUAGUCCACACUGUAAACGUUGAUUACUCGCUGUUUGCGAUACACAGCAAGCGGCUUAGCGAAAGCGAUAAGUAAUCCACCUGGGGAGUACGCCGGCAACGG